rnacentral:lncRNA from 1 species
CAACCAAUGGCGAAAUCCCCUCACAAUGAUCUCAAACUGUGUUUCUAAUACACACUGGAAUUGAACUCAGACUACCCAUUGCUAACCAGGAAAGUCUUGGAGGUCAGAGGUGACAUUGUGGUGAGUGUGUUUGAGGAGGACAUCAGGGACAGUGAGCUGCUGAGGACAGUGUGUAAAGGGAGCAUCGCUGGUCUACCACAAUGUGUCCCUCAUAGAUGUCAUCGAGAAGGUGGACUACAGCGAGAUCCACGGAGUCAACGUCAAAGGAACCCAGCUCCUUCUGUAGACGUACGUCUGGGAAAAUGUGGUGUCCAAAGAAAGAAAGUGAAUAAAGGCUAAAUAAUUGCCCAAGGCCCUGCCUGUAAGACUGUUCCUAUAGCUGACCAUCCCCUGGUCCAUGCUUAUAAUCAUUAUUACAGUGGUCUGUAAAUGUGUAAAUUAAAGUUGUG